rnacentral:rRNA from 1 species
UACGUUCCCGGGUCUUGUACACACCGCCCGUCACACCAUGGGAGCGGGUUUUACCAGAAGUAGGUAGCUUAACCGCAAGGGGGGCGCUUACCACGGUAGGAUUCGUGACUGGGUG